rnacentral:lncRNA from 1 species
GGUAAAAGAUAAUCCUUAACAUCUACUCUCUUGAGCAGUGAUAGGAAGACACAAUCUAGGUAAAGAUAUGUACUAGCAAGCUCACUAUACUCAUGGUAUAGGGUAUGCUAAAAGAUAAAGAUAUUGGCAAGCCCGCAUCUACCCGUGGUAGAGGGUAUGCACAAAAGGUAAAAGGUAAUAAAAAUCCUAACUGUAAUACCUAAACUGUACUAUUGACGUGGUCCAAUUCUUUACUCACGACAAGCACAGAGAAGGACAGAUUCUUAGGACUUUAUAAUAAUCAAGAUAAAGAUAAGAUAUACAUUCAAUCAAGAUAUAGAUAAGAGAUAAACUCAUCAUGGUAAAGGUACGAGAUAAACUCAAGGUAAAGAUAAAGAUAAAUACAUCAAGGUAAAGGUACUAGAUAAACUCAACUAAAGGUAAAGGUAAAGAUAAACUCACUUCUACCUUUGCAUACUUAAGGCAAGAGAACAUCUACUAACAUAAUGCUCAGUAGGGAGACAAAUAAGGUAACUCACAUACUCACAUCCACUAAUCCAAGCAAGUGGUAGAGAGAGGUAACCAAAUUUAAAGUAAUAAGAUAUGUUAAAACUCAAAUCAUUUAAAAGAUAACAGCAUAGGAGAUGACAACCAAGUUAAACAGACUUACUUACAGCUGAAUAUCAGAGCGAUCCAAUUCUAUAUGACACAUUCUAAUUUUAACCUAAGAGACACUCUAGGAACAACUUAUAGAUAUUAAUAGAUUUCUGAGCCAAGUGAAGUGCACAAGUCCAGGGUGAUCAGUCCUGAACCCACGCUAAAUCCUGACACAGUUAAGUGAAUACAUAAGCUUUAUGGGCAUGGUCCGCGCGCCUGAACCAUGCGAAGCCAUAACUCAAAGAAAAUGUUUAAAUGUUUUAACAGUGUUUUCUAAGUAUCCCUAUAGAUACUCAUUUAACCCAGAAUUCAACAUGGGGAAAAUUCCCAUUUUCCAUCCUGUACUCCUAUGAUAUGCUUUCUAAAAAAAAAUAUAUAUUGCCAACAAGAAAAUGAACAAGUCUAUAAACUAAGAUAUUAACCAACAUUAAGAUAAGAUAAAA